rnacentral:rRNA from 1 species
CCUACGGGGGGCUGCAGUAAGGAAUAUUGGGCAAUGGACGCAAGUCUGACCCAGCCAUGCCGCGUGAAGGAUGAAGGCCCUAUGGGUUGUAAACUUCUUUUAUACGGGAAAAAACCUUCGGUCGUGUACCGGAGCUGAUGGUACCGUAAGAAUAAGCAUCGGCUAACUCCGUGCCAGCAGCCGCGGUAAUACGGAGGAUGCAAGCGUUAUCCGGAUUCAUUGGGUUUAAAGGGUGCGCAGGCGGAAUAAUAAGUCAGUGGUGAAAUCCUACGGCUCAACUGUAGAACUGCCAUUGAUACUGUUAUUCUUGAGUACUGUUGAGGUGGGCGGAAUGUGUCAUGUAGCGGUGAAAUGCUUAGAUAUGACACAGAACACCGAUCGCGAAGGCAGCUCACCAAGCAGAAACUGACGCUCAUGCACGAAAGCGUGGGGAUCAAACAGGCUUAGAUACCCCUGUAGUC